rnacentral:rRNA from 1 species
UACGUAGGGGCGAGCGUUGUCCGGAUUUAUUGGCGUAAAGAGCGUGUAGGCGGCUUGUAGGUCUGCUGGUGAAACUCGGGGCUCAACCCCGAGACGUCGGUGGAAACCACCUGGCUAGAGUCCGGAAGAGGAGAGUGGGAAUUCCUGGUGUAGCGGUGAAAUGCGCAGAUAUCAGGAAGAAUAUCCGUGGCGAAGGCGGCUCUCGUGGUACGGCACUGACGCUGAGACGCGAAAGCGUGGGGAGCGAACAGG